rnacentral:tRNA from 1 species
AUGCUCCCACUUCACCCUCCCUAAGUAGCUGGGACCAAAAGCGCCCGCCACCAUCUUAAAAAUUCUUUUUCUGGCCGGGGGCGAUGGCUCAAGCCUGUAAUCCCAGCACUUUGGGAGGCCGAGGCGGGUGGAUCACGAGGUCAGGGGUUCGAGACCAGCCUGACCAACAUAGUGAAACCUCGUCUCUACUAAAGAUACAAAAAUUAGCUGGGCGUGGUGGCGGGCGCCUGUAAUCCCAGCUACUCAGGAGGCUGAGGCAGGAGAAUUGCUUGAACCCGGGAGGCGGGGGUUGCAGUGAGCCGAGAUCGCGCCACUGCACUCCAGCCUGGGGCAACGACAGCGAAACUCCGUCUCAACAACAACAAAAACAGCUGGUGAUAAAAUAGUAUUAUAGCAUACUUCCACUUUGUUUCAAAACCUAGAUAUUGAGUGGUCUUCGGGUGAUAGAAUGGUGAGCGAUUUCUUUAUUUGUGUUUUUCUACAUUUUCUGUAUUUCAGUUUUCAGUGGGAUGGGGAAGAUUGACUAGCAGAUAACGUUUAUUUAAAAGAUCCUGAGAGAAAGCAGUAAAAGAAGAUGUUACUCUUUCCCUGACCGGGAAUCGAACCCGGGCCGCGGCGGUGAGAGCGCCGAAUCCUAACCACUAGACCACCA